GUUGAACGCUGGCGGCAGGCCUAACACAUGCAAGUCGAACGAGUGGCGGAGGGGUGAGUAGUGGCUGGGAAACUGCCUGAUGGAGGGAGAUAACUAGUGGAAACGGUAGCAAAUACCGCAUACCAUCGGAUGUGCCCAGAUGGGAUUAGCUAGCAGGGGGGGUAACGGCUCACCUAGGCGACGAUCCCUAGCUGGUCUGAGAGGAUGACCAGCCACACUGGAACUGAGACACGGUCCAGACUCCUACGGGAGGCAGCAGUGGGGAAUAUUGCACAAUGGGCGCAAGCCUGAUGCAGCCAUGCCGCGUGUGUGAAGAAGGCCUUCGGGUUGUAAAGUACUUUUAGCGGGGAGGCGUUACCCGCAGAAGAAGCACCGGCUAACUCCGUGCCAGCAGCCGCGGUAAUUC
rnacentral:rRNA from 1 species